GUACUGAGAAAUUCUAUAACCUUAUAGAACUUUUUAUGCUAAAACUAGUAACAAGAGAAUACCUCUCCCAAACGCAAGUAAAAGCCAGAUAACUCACCACUGGCAUCCAACAGACACAUAAAGUAGCAACACUUCUAGAAAACCCUUCUAUCCAGACUGUUAACCUUACACUAGCGCGUUUCGAGAAAGAUUAAAAGAAAAAGAAGGAACUCGGCAAAUAUUUAACCCCGCCUGUUUACCAAAAACAUCGCCUCUUGACACUUAUAAGAGGUCUAGCCUGCCCAGUGACCCUGUUUAACGGCCGCGGUAUUCUAACCGUGCAAAGGUAGCGUAAUCACUUGUUUUCUAAAUAAAGACCAGUAUGAAAGGCACCACGAGGGCUAAGCUGUCUCCUUUUUCUAAUCAGUGAACCUAAUCUCCCCGUGAAGAAGCGGGGAUUCUAAUAUAAGACGAGAAGACCCUGUGGAGCUUAAAACAUCUUAACAUCUGCUCCGUAUCUAUCAUUACCCAGGUACAUCACCUAUAUUGCAAUUUGAUUUUAAUGUUUUUGGUUGGGGUGACCGCGGAGAAAAACACACCCUCCGCAAUGAAAGGGAAUCCUUAAGCUAUAAGUUACAACUUUAUGUAUCAAAAAAUUGACACCAUCGACCCAAUAAUUGAUCAAUGAACCAAGUUACCCCAGGGAUAACAGCACAAUCCACUUUAAGAGUUCCUAUCGGCAAGUGGGCUUAUGACCUCGAUGUUGGAUCGGGGUAUCCUAGUGGUGCAGCCGCUACUAAAGGUUCGUUUGUUCAACGAUUAAAACCCACG
rnacentral:rRNA from 1 species